rnacentral:rRNA from 1 species
CAGUCGAGGGGUAUAGUUCUUCGGAAGUAGAGACCGGCGCACGGGUGCGUAACGCGUAUGCAAUCUACCUUGUACAGAGGGAUAGCCCAGAGAAAUUUGGAUUAAUACCUCAUAGUAUUAUGAAAUGGCAUCAUUUUAUAAUUAAAGUCACGACGGUGAAAGAUGAGCAUGCGUCCCAUUAGCUAGUUGGUGAGGUAACGGCUUACCAAGGCUACGAUGGGUAGGGGUCCUGAGAGGGAGAUCCCCCACACUGGUACUGAGACACGGACCAGACUCCUACGGGAGGCAGCAGUGAGGAAUAUUGGACAAUGGGCGCAAGCCUGAUCCAGCCAUGCCGCGUGCAGGAUGACGGUCCUAUGGAUUGUAAACUGCUUUUAUACAGGAAGAAACACUGGUUCGUGAACCAGCUUGACGGUACUGUAAGAAUAAGGAUCGGCUAACUCCGUGCCAGCAGCCGCGGUAAUACGGAGGAUCCAAGCGUUAUCCGGAAUCAUUGGGUUUAAAGGGUCCGUAGGCGGUUUAAUAAGUCAGUGGUGAAAGCCCAUCGCUCAACGGUGGAACGGCCAUUGAUACUGUUAAACUUGAAUUAUUAGGAAGUAACUAGAAUAUGUAGUGUAGCGGUGAAAUGCUUAGAGAUUACAUGGAAUACCAAUUGCGAAGGCAGGUUACUACUAAUUGAUUGACGCUGAUGGACGAAAGCGUGGGUAGCGAAC